rnacentral:rRNA from 1 species
ACACUCCUGCGGGAGGCAGCAGUGGGGAAUCUUGCGCAAUGGGCGAAAGCCUGACGCAGCCAUGCCGCGUGAAUGAUGAAGGUCUUAGGAUUGUAAAAUUCUUUCACCGGGGACGAUAAUGACGGUACCCGGAGAAGAAGCCCCGGCUAACUUCGUGCCAGCAGCCGCGGUAAUACGAAGGGGGCUAGCGUUGCUCGGAAUUACUGGGCGUAAAGGGAGCGUAGGCGGACAUUUAAGUCAGGGGUGAAAUCCCGGGGCUCAACCUCGGAAUUGCCUUUGAUACUGGGUGUCUUGAGUAUGAGAGAGGUGUGUGGAACUCCGAGUGUAGAGGUGAAAUUCGUAGAUAUUCGGAAGAACACCAGUGGCGAAGGCGACACACUGGCGCAUUACUGACGCUGAGGCUCGAAAGCGUGGGGAGCAAACAAGAGUAGAUACCCCGGUAGUCCCAU